rnacentral:rRNA from 1 species
GAUGAACGCUGGCGGCGUGCCUAAUACAUGCAAGUCGAGCGAACAGAUAAGGAGCUUGCUCCUUUGACGUCAGCGGCGGACGGGUGAGUAACACGUGGAUAACCUACCUAUAAGACUGGGAUAACUUCGGGAAACCGGAGCUAAUACCGGAUAACAUAUUGAACCGCAUGGUUCAAUAGUGAAAGGCGGCUUUGCUGUCACUUAUAGAUGGAUCCGCGCCGUAUUAGCUAGUUGGUAAGGUAACGGCUUACCAAGGCAACGAUACGUAGCCGACCUGAGAGGGUGAUCGGCCACACUGGAACUGAGACACGGUCCAGACUCCUACGGGAGGCAGCAGUAGGGAAUCUUCCGCAAUGGGCGAAAGCCUGACGGAGCAACGCCGCGUGAGUGAUGAAGGUCUUCGGAUCGUAAAACUCUGUUAUCAGGGAAGAACAAAUGUGUAAGUAACUGUGCACAUCUUGACGGUACCUGAUCAGAAAGCCACGGCUAACUACGUG